rnacentral:rRNA from 1 species
UACGUAGGGGGCGAGCGUUGUCCGGAAUUACUGGGCGUAAAGCGCGCGCAGGCGGAUGUGCAAGUCGUAGGUGAAAUCCCGGGGCUCAACCCUGGGACUGCUCUCGAUACUGCAUGUCUAGGGACCGGUAGAGGUCGGUGGAAUUCCCGGUGUAGCGGUGGAAUGCGUAGAUAUCAGGAGGAACACCUGUGGCGAAGGCGGCCGACUGGGCCGGAUCCGACGCUGAGGCGCGAAAGCGUGGGGAGCAAACAGG